rnacentral:tRNA from 1 species
AUUUAAGUAGUUUAAUAGAGAAUAAUAAUUUGUGGUGUUGUAGGUGGAGUUAAUAAAAUUCCUUAGAUC